rnacentral:rRNA from 1 species
ACGCCUGCCCGGUGCUGGAAGGUUAAGGGGAUCUGUUAGAGCAAUCGAAGCAGUGAACUUAAGCCCCAGUAAACGGCGGCCGUAACUAUAACGGUCCUAAGGGAGCGAAAUUCCUUGUCGGGUAAGUUCCGACCCGCACGAAAGGCGUAACGAUUUGGGCACUGUCUCAACAACAGACUCGGUGAAAUUGUAAUUCCGGUGAAGAUGCCGGAUACCUGCGACAGGACGGAAAGACCCCAUGGAGCUUUACUGUAGCUUGACAUUGGGUCUUGGUACUAC